AUAAUGUUGAGUUUUAUAAAGAAUUUGCUGUUCGCUUUGAAAUUUCAUUGUGAAUACCCAGGUAUUGAGUCUUUUGGUCAUUUAGGACAAAUGGUUGAAACGGAAUUGAAAAAUUCAACAACAAAUUCGAUCCCGGUAAUCUCUAGAAGAGAAAUUGCAAACCCAAAGGGUAUUGAGCCAUUGAGUGGUUUACCGACAGGCAUUGAAACCGAUUUGUUCAGUUUAGAAACAAAGUUAAGCAAGCCAAUAUUUAAAAGA
rnacentral:lncRNA from 1 species